rnacentral:rRNA from 1 species
GAUGAACGCUGGCGGCGUGCUUAACACAUGCAAGUCGAACGGAAAGGCUCCUGCUUGCAGGGGUACUCGAGUGGCGAACGGGUGAGUAACACGUGGGUGAUCUGCCCUGCACUUCGGGAUAAGCCUGGGAAACUGGGUCUAAUACCGGAUAGGACGAUGGUUUGGAUGCCAUUGUGGAAAGUUUUUCGGUGUGGGAUGAGCUCGCGGCCUAUCAGCUUGUUGGUGGGGUAAUGGCCUACCAAGGCGUCGACGGGUAGCCGGCCUGAGAGGGUGUACGGCCACAUUGGGACUGAGAUACGGCCCAGACUCCUACGGGAGGCAGCAGUGGGGAAUAUUGCACAAUGGGCGCAAGCCUGAUGCAGCGACGCCGCGUGGGGGAGGACGGCCUUCGGGUUGUAAACUCCUUUCGCUAGGGACGAAGCGCAAGUGACGGUACCUGGAGAAGAAGCACCGGCGAACUACGG